rnacentral:rRNA from 1 species
AAUGAACGUUGGCGGCAUGGAUUAGGCAUGCAAGUCGAGCGAGAAGUGUAGCAAUACACGGAAAGCGGCGGAAGGGAGAGUAAUACGUGGGGAUCUGCCCUUAGACCUGGGAUAGCAGCGGGAAACUGCUGGUAAUACCAGAUAAUGUCUAUGGACCAAAGGUGUGAUUCCGUCUAGGGAUGAGCCCACGUCCUAUUAGCUAGUUGGUAGGGUAAUGGCCUACCACGGCGAUGAUGGGUAGCAGGUGUGAGAGCAUGACCCGCGUCACUGGGACUGAGACACUGCCCAGACACCUACGGGUGGCUGCAGUCGAGAAUCUUCGGCAAUGGGCGCAAGCCUGACCGAGCGAUGCCGCGUGCGGGAUGAAGGCCUUCGCGUUGUAAACCGCUGUCGAGGGGGAGCAACUUCCAUAGAGUUAUCUUUAUGGAUUGAGUGAUCCCUGGAGGAAGGACGGGCUAAGUUCGUGCCAGCAGCCGCAGUAAAAC